UGUGUGUGUGUGCGGUGAGAAUCGUCCUCCUGUGUGUGAGCUGAUGAUGUAAUAACUCUCUCUGUGUCUCAGUUACGGUCAGUCUGCGGCCGUCGUCUCCUCCUCGGUGUCCUCCUCCAUGACGGGUCACAUGAUGUACUCCAGCCCACACACACUCAUGUACGCUUCAGCGCCCACGCUAGCAGACGGGAGCGUAGCGGGUGCUCAACGCCUUCACACAGGCACAGGUGUCACACACGACGACUCAGGACACGGCCGGCGUUCCUCAGGUGUUCCUCACAGCUCCUCCCGGUACGGUUCAGAUUCCCGUCUCAGCGGUGCAGCUUCAUCCAGUACGGCAAGAUCAACACUUCACAAAUGGUGAUUGGUCAGCAGUCCAGCGGCAGCAGCAGUAGUCUGACCGAGCUCCAGGUCAUUAAUCUGGACGCCUCACAGAACACCAAACAUCACUGACCGCUCCACCACAGACUGACGCCGCUAUUUAUUCAUGCCUUUAUACAGACUACAACCACAGCACAAUCAGUGAUGUGAAGCCAGACGAGUGUGUGAGUGUGUGUGUGUGUGUGUGUGUGUGUGUGUGUGUGUGUGUGUGUGUGUGUGUGUGUGUGUGUGUGAGUGUGUGUGUGAGUGAGU